rnacentral:rRNA from 1 species
UUUGGUUAAGUUAGAAAGGGCGCACGGUGGAUGCCUUGACACUAGGAGUCGAUGAAGGACGGGACUAACGCCGAUAUGCUUCGGGGAGCUGUAAGUAAGCUUUGAUCCGAAGAUUUCCGAAUGGGGAAACCCACUAUACGUAAUGGUAUGGUAUCCUUACCUGAAUACAUAGGGUAUGGAAGACAGACCCAGGAACUGAAACAUCUAAGUACCUGGAGGAAGAGAAAGCAAAUGCGAUUUCCUGAGUAGCGGCGAGCGAAACGGAACAUAGCCCAAACCAAGAGGCUUGCCUCUUGGGUUGUAGGACAUUCUAUACGGAGUUACAAAGGAACGAGGUAGACGAAGCGACCUGGAAAGGUCCGUCGUAGAGGGUAACAACCCCGUAGUCGAAACUUCGUUCUCUCUUGAAUGUAUCCUGAGUACGGCGGAACACGUGAAAUUCCGUCGGAAUCUGGGAGGACCAUCUCCCAAGGCUAAAUACUCCCUAGUGAUCGAUAGUGAACCAGUACCGUGAGGGAAAGGUGAAAAGCACCCCGGAAGGGGAGUGAAAGAGAUCCUGAAACCGUGUGCCUACAAAUAGUCAGAGCCCGUUAAUGGGUGAUGGCGUGCCUUUUGUAGAAUGAACCGGCGAGUUACGAUCCCGUGCAAGGUUAAGCUGAAGAGGCGGAGCCGCAGCGAAAGCGAGUCUGAAUAGGGCGUUUAGUACGUGGUCGUAGACCCGAAACCAGGUGAUCUACCCAUGUCCAGGGUGAAGUUCAGGUAACACUGAAUGGAGGCCCGAACCCACGCACGUUGAAAAGUGCGGGGAUGAGGUGUGGGUAGCGGAGAAAUUCCAAUCGAACCUGGAGAUAGCUGGUUCUCCCCGAAAUAGCUUUAGGGCUAGCCUUAAGUGUAAGAGUCUUGGAGGUAGAGCACUGAUUGAACUAGGGGUCCUCAUCGGAUUACCGAAUUCAGUCAAACUCCGAAUGCCAAUGACUUAUCCUUAGGAGUCAGACUGCGAGUGAUAAGAUCCGUAGUCAAGAGGGAAACAGCCCAGAUCGCCAGCUAAGGUCCCAAAGUGUGUAUUAAGUGGAAAAGGAUGUGGAGUUGCUUAGACAACUAGGAUGUUGGCUUAGAAGCAGCCACCAUUUAAAGAGUGCGUAAUAGCUCACUAGUCGAGUGACUCUGCGCCGAAAAUGUACCGGGGCUAAAUACACCACCGAAGCUGCGAAUUGAUACCAAUGGUAUCAGUGGUAGGGGAGCGUUCUAAGUGCAGUGAAGUCAGACCGGAAGGACUGGUGGAGCGCUUAGAAGUGAGAAUGCCGGUAUGAGUAGCGAAAGACGGGUGAGAAUCCCGUCCACCGAAUGCCUAAGGUUUCCUGAGGAAGGCUCGUCCGCUCAGGGUUAGUCAGGACCUAAGCCGAGGCCGACAGGCGUAGGCGAUGGACAACAGGUUGAUAUUCCUGUACCACCUCUUUAUCGUUUGAGCAAUGGAGGGACGCAGAAGGAUAGAAGAAGCGUGCGAUUGGUUGUGCACGUCCAAGCAGUUAGGCUGAUAAGUAGGCAAAUCCGCUUAUCGUGAAGGCUGAGCUGUGAUGGGGAAGCUCCUUAUGGAGCGAAGUCUUUGAUUCCCCGCUGCCAAGAAAAGCUUCUAGCGAGAUAAAAGGUGCCUGUACCGCAAACCGACACAGGUAGGCGAGGAGAGAAUCCUAAGGUGUGCGAGAGAACUCUGGUUAAGGAACUCGGCAAAAUGACCCCGUAACUUCGGGAGAAGGGGGUGCUUUCUUAACGGAAAGCCGCAGUGAAUAGGCCCAAGCGACUGUUU